rnacentral:rRNA from 1 species
AUUGAACGCUGGCGGCAUGCCUUACACAUGCAAGUCGAACGGCAGCACGGGUGCUUGCACCUGGUGGCGAGUGGCGAACGGGUGAGUAAUACAUCGGAACAUGUCCUGUAGCGGGGGAUAGCCCGGCGAAAGCCGGAUUAAUACCGCAUACGAUCUACGUAUGAAAGCGGGGGACCUGCGGGCCUCGCGCUAUAGGGUUGGCCGAUGGCUGAUUAGCUAGUUGGUGGGGUAAAGGCCUACCAAGGCGACGAUCAGUAGCUGGUCUGAGAGGACGACCAGCCACACUGGAACUGAGCCACGGCCCAGACUCCUACGGGAGGCAGCAGUGGGGAAUUUUGGACAAUGGGCGAAAGCCUGAUCCAGCAAUGCCGCGUGUGUGAAGAAGGCCUUCGGGUUGUAAAGCACUUUUGUCCGGAAAGAAAUCCUUGGCCCUAAUACGGUCGGGGGAUGACGGUACCGGAAGAAUAAGCACCGGCUAACUACGUG